GGGGAGAUGGCUCAGUGGAUAAAGUACUCACCACCCAAGGGUGAGGUCUAGAGAUCAGAGUUCUAACCCCUCUUUCCA
rnacentral:tRNA from 1 species